ensembl:rRNA 5S_rRNA 5S ribosomal RNA
GUCUUCGGCCACACCACACUGAAUGCGCCGGAUCUCAUCUGAUCCCAGAAGCUAAGCAGAGUCGGGCCUGGUUAGUACUUGGAUGGGAGACAUGUUCAGCAGGUGUGAGGGAUC